rnacentral:lncRNA from 1 species
CAAACAUUCUUGUAAAGUUGUAAUAAAGAAGUUAACUUUGCAGCUCAUUCAACAUGCUUCCAUUGUCUUUCUCCUUCACCAACCCACAGCAUCACUGUGUAGCUACCGAACCUGCAUUUCCUGGCGGAGAAUUCUGGUUGUACCAGAAUUCUUCCCACAGAAUAAAUCCAGAAAACUUAGUAUUCUUUUUUCCCUUUGAAUUUCCCAGUACUAUGAAUUUGCCAUUUACCUGAGAUUGUGGAAGAAAUUUCUACUCUUCAAAUCCAAAUCCAAAUCCAAAUCCCACUCAAUUUAAGUAUUCGUUUUUUUCUGUUGAAUUUACACUAAAUGGCUAUGUAUUUGAGCAUUUUAAAGAAAUCAUAGAUCUUCGAAUCCACGUCCCACUUAAUUUAAGCGUUCUCAUUUUCUUCAAUUUACACAAAAGGGCUGCAUAUUUGGGCAUUUUGAAGAAAUCCCUACUCUUCAAAUCUAUUCUUCACUCAAAUUCCACUAGAAAUACCACCGUAAAUGGCUAACUCUUCCUUAGCACCACCGAAUUACAAAUCCGAACGGUGCGGAGUUGAUGAUUUCAAGGAAAGCAAACUAACGGUAGCUCUCUGUCCAUGUGUUUAUUGUUUCAUUCUCUUACUUGUAGUGGUCUCUAUUUUGUGAAAUUCCAUUUAUUUUGUCACACCCCACUUCAAUCUCUCCUUUUCAAAAAAUAUUGCCAUUAAACCCACUCCGAAAGCUGAGAUUUCCCUACAGUCACAAUAUUUCCUUUUAUUGCUUGAAUAAUUUUAGGGUCCUUAAUUCCUAGUGUUAUUGAUGUGUGAUUGGAUUCUGAGAAUGAAUGUUGCGGAAAUGAAUCAAUUGUCGUUAAAAAUGUGAAAUGGAGGACUGAUCAGGACAAGGUGGACAUGGUGAGUGAAUUGAUUCAUAUCAAAUAUACAAGUUUCGAGGUGAAUAUUGAAUGAUUUUAGAUGGUUGCGAACUUAAGUCGAGAUCUAGCAGAAACGAAGAGAAGGAUCUGCUCAUGAUGGAAACGUUUAUUAUGGUGAUCGAAGCAUUUGUUUCUGUGAAGGAGAGGAAAAUGACUGUUGGGAUUUUCAUCUAUGGAGAAGUUUAAUAAACGGGAAAUGAGUUGGGAUGGCCACCACUUAAACUCAUUUUCAACUGGCCUUUGAUCAAAAUUAUAAAAAUAAAAGGAGUUUUAAUUAUUUUAAAGUGUCAAAAGAUUUCUUUACCCUUAAUUUG